CGUGUAGGCGGCCGAUCAAGUCCGGUGUGAAAGCCCGGGGCUUACCCCCGGAAGUGCGCUGGAAACUGAUCGGCUAGAGUAUGGGAGAGGGAAGUGGAAUUCCUGGUGUAGCGGUGAAAUGCGUAGAUAUCAGGAGGAACACCGGCGGCGAAGGCGGCUUCCUGGACCAAUACUGACGCUGAGACGCGAAAGCGUGGGGAGCAAACAGGAUUAGAUACCCUGGUAGUCCACGCUGUAAACGAUGGGCACUAGAUGCCGCGGGUAUUGACCCCUGCGGUGUCGUAGCUAACGCGUUAAGUGCCCCGCCUGGGGAGUACGGUCGCAAGAUUAAA
rnacentral:rRNA from 1 species